rnacentral:rRNA from 1 species
UUUCCGUAGGUGAACCUGCGGAAGGAUCAUUAUCGAGUUUUGAACGGGUUGUAGCUGGCCUCAUACGGGGCAUGUGCACGCCUGGCUCAUCCACUCUUCGACCUCUGUGCACUUAUUGUAGAUCGGUGACAAGGUCGAGUUCUUUUAUUAGUUCUUGACUGGAAACCUUUCUACGUUUUUACUACAAACGCUUCAGUUAUAGAAUGUUUAUCUGCGUAUAACGCAUCUUUAUACAACUUUCAGCAACGGAUCUCUUGGCUCUCGCAUCGAUGAAGAACGCAGCGAAAUGCGAUAAGUAAUGUGAAUUGCAGAAUUCAGUGAAUCAUCGAAUCUUUGAACGCACCUUGCGCUCCCUGGUAUUCCGGGGAGCAUGCCUGUUUGAGUGUCAUGGAAUUCUCAACUCUUAAUACUUUUUUGUAUCAAGAGCUUGGACUUGGAGGCUUGUGCUGGCUGCUCGUUCAGUCGGCUCCUCUGAAAUGCAUUAGCGUGAAUUAAUAUGGAUCGCUUCGGUGUGAUAAUUAUCUGCGCCGUAGUCGUGAAGUACUUUAUAACGUUUACGCUUCUAAUCGUCCUUCACGGGACAAUUAAACCCUGACUUUUUGACCUCAAAUCAGGUAGGACUACCC